GUUUCCUUUGGCUCCUCUAUGACCUAAUUAUCCGUUGGACUGCUCACCACACCAUGCCGUCUCACUUGAAAAAGUGUUUGGCUCUGACAAAGAUCCAAGGGUACAGACAUCCAUCACAAAGCAGUGUUUCCCAGCUGCUGGGCUUGAGGAUGAAUGACACAAAGGUUCAGUGUUUUGCACAAGGACUUGUGGACAGGAGGAGCUGGGGAUCGAACCACCAACCCUGAGACUACUCUCUACCUCCUGAGCCACAGCCACCGCAUACGAUUCAACUUUUAAAACAGGUGAGCUACAGUUCACAAUGUUUUCAUAUGAGAAUUUUGUCACACACAGAAUUCCCGCAAGUUAUUAAACAUCAAAUUCAAGGUCUUUUCAAGGACUUUCCAGGAUCAAUUCCAUCAAAUUCAAGUACUGAAUGCUGCAUAUUUUGAGACCAUUUUGGGAUCAAGGUUAAUUACUGUCACAACACUAAUUAACAGAGGCAAAAUAACUUCAAUUUCUAUUCUUGCAAGAAAUAUAUAAAUUCAAGCACUUUUAACGACCCUAAGUUUAGUUAUGUCUAUUUUCAAAAACUUUCAAGGCCUUGAUUUUUUUCCCCUCAACUUGUUCAAGGACCUGUGGAUAUCCAGAGGAUAUUAUAGACAUAAUGGCAACUUCUCACU